CGGCCUCCUCGCGCGACCCCCGGUGCCUUCGCCCGGCCCCUCGACGAGAGCUCCUCAGGUUGUGAUAAGAGCUAUGAAGAAAAUGAAGGAGAUGAGACAAAGAAUUCCUGGGGCGGGGAGCCCAUUUCUGAGAAGGCCGGCGGGGAAGACCUAUUGGAGGGAGUGGUGUUUCAGUAGAAACCCCAGAAGGAUUCGAAGGAACCAGAUUUAUUUGAGAGAGAAAGCAUGAGUUGGAGGAGGGGCA